UUACCGAAGCCGGAUUGAGAACCCCGGCUAGCCGUGCGCUAGAACAAAAGUCUUACACUGCUGCUUGCUGAGCGGGCGGAUGGGGUCGCCUAAUUGCUUCUCCUCCGGAACCUCAGCGCACGAACACACCCGCGAACGAAUAUAUAUCCGAUGUUGGGCGAGUGGCGACUCGAGCACUUGUUCUUUACUUACGAGUGCUCAAAAAAAAGCCGCACCCACAUUCAACCCCACUAAACUAUGAAUCUGAACUAAAAGGAGGCGCCUACGCCAUUGUUUGUGCAGAAGCGCCGCCUCAACCAUAACGUUGUAAAACUUUCAGCGNNNNAUGUCUUGGCUCCCACAACGAUGAAGAACGCAGCGAAAUGCGAUACGUCUUGCGACUUGCAGAAUCCAGUGAAUCAUCAAAACUUUGAACGCAUCUUGCGCUUCCGGGAUAUGCCUGGGAGCAUGCUUGUCGGAGUGUCUGUUAACACUCCUCGCCCUGGUGUCCUGUUCUGUUUUAUUUCCUUUCGAAAGAGAGAGAAUAGGACAGAACAGUGCCGGUGGCGGACUGUGCGUGUUCCGGAGACCUGGUUUCCGAGUGCACCUAAUCUUGUGAACGAAACUCCUAGUCUCCAAGAGCGCAAGAGUUGUUGACGGCGUUUUGCCCCUCCGGGGCCACGACUCUCGACUCGUCCAAUGCGCCUCCUGGCGGGCGGAGAUAGUUUUCCGGUUGGGGGGGUGAGUGUUGUGUGUUUUAUAUACACAUAUACCCACCCCUUCUGUUGAUACUUUCGUUCG
rnacentral:rRNA from 1 species